UGCUGAAAAACCAUGGUGCAUUGCAACAAAAAACCUCUACACUUGUCCAGGUCUCCGAAGAAGGGUUCCGGGUCGGGCAUGUAAGAUUCCAGUGGUGGACCUGGAGCUGGAGCAGGGCCAGGUUGGCUGGCAUCGGUCGUAGUGGCAGCGGGAGCAGAGAGACUGGAAGAGAUAACUGAGAGGUCAGAGGAUAGCUUUGCAACCUGCUGAAGCAGAGACUGAUUAGAAUUCAGUAACGACUGUAGAACUUGGUCAUGUUGUCCGAGGAGUCGCCCCUGCUGAGCCAAAGCCUGCUGCCAGGAGUUGUCUGAACUGCCAGAUCCUGGAUCCAUGUCUUGUUGGCCAGAUCGUUCUGUUAGGGUUUGUGGGAAGACAGGCAGGAACCAGGAUGGAGCAGAUGGUGGAUUUAGUUAGGCAGUAACAAGUUUAUUUUGAGUAGUCACAGAGUCCUUGAAAGUCACUGAGGCAGAGGGUGGUGGCAGGACAGCAGGCCAGAAUGAAGAGCUUGUGGUAGGUCCUUCCAACUG